GAUAAACGCUAGCGGCAGGCUUAACACAUGCAAGUCGAGGGGCAGCAUAGAUUGUAGCAAUACAAUUGGUGGCGACCGGCGCACGGGUGCGUAACGCGUAUGCAACCUACCCGUCACAGGGGGAUAAUCCGGAGAAAUCUGGUCUAAUACCCCAUAACAUAUGGAUCGGCAUCGGUUCAUGUUGAAAUUUUCGGAGGUGACGGAUGGGCAUGCGUAGCAUUAGCUUGUUGGUGAGGUAACGGCUCACCGAGGCGACGAUGCUUAGGGGGACUGAGAGGUUUUCCCCCCACACUGGUACUGAGACACGGACCAGACUCCUACGGGAGGCAGCAGUGAGGAAUAUUGGUCAAUGGGCGCAAGCCUGAACCAGCCAUGCCGCGUGCAGGAUGACGGCUCUAUGAGUUGUAAACUGCUUUUGUACGAGGGUAAAGUGGGUUACGUGUAACCUUUUGAAAGUAUCGUACGAAUAGGGAUCAGCUAACUCCGUGCCAGCAGCCGCGGUAA
rnacentral:rRNA from 1 species